GACGAACGCUGGCGGCGUGCUUAACACAUGCAAGUCGAACGACGUGGCGAACGGGUGAGUAACGCGUAAUCAACCUGCCCUUCAGAGGGGGACAACAGUUGGAAACGACUGCUAAUACCGCAUACUGAGGGAGGGGCUUGCGUCUCAUUAGCGAGGUGGAGGGGUAACGGCCCACCAAGGAGAUGAUCAGUGGCCGGUCUGAGAGGAUGACCGGCCACAUUGUGCCUGAGACACGGCCCAGACUCCUACGGGAGGCAGCAGUGGGGAAUCUUCCGCAAUGGACGAAAGUCUGACGGAGAAACGCCGCGUGAGUGAUGACGGCCUUCGGGUUGUAAAGCUCUGUUAAUCGGGACGCGGUACCGGAAUAGAAAGCCACGGCUAACUACGUGCCAGCAGCCGCGGUAAUAC
rnacentral:rRNA from 1 species